UAAUACGGAGGAUCCAAGCGUUAUCCGGAAUCAUUGGGUUUAAAGGGUCCGUAGGCGGUUUAGUAAGUCAGUGGUGAAAGCCCAUCGCUCAACGGUGGAACGGCCAUUGAUACUGUUAGACUUGAAUUAUUAGGAAGUAACUAGAAUAUGUAGUGUAGCGGUGAAAUGCUUAGAGAUUACAUGGAAUACCAAUUGCGAAGGCAGGUUACUACUAAUUGAUUGACGCUGAUGGACGAAAGCGUGGGGAGCGAACAGGAUUAGAUACCCUGGUAGUCCACGCCGUAAACGAUGGAUACUAGCUGUUGGGGGCAACUUCAGUGGCUAAGCGAAAGUGAUAAGUAUCCCACCUGGGGAGUACGGGCGCAAGCCUGAAACUUAAAGGAAUUGACGG
rnacentral:rRNA from 1 species